rnacentral:rRNA from 1 species
CUACGGGAGGCUCCAGUGAGGAAUAUUGCACAAUGGGGGGAACCCUGAUGCAGCAACGCCGCGUGGAGGAUGACGCAUUUCGGUGUGUAAACUCCUUUUAUAUGUCAAGAAAAUGACGGUAGCAUAUGGAUAAGCACCGGCUAACUCCGUGCCAGCAGCCGCGGUAAUACGGAGGGUGCAAGCGUUACUCGGAAUCACUGGGCGUAAAGGACGCGUAGGCGGGUUGGAAAGUCAGGUGUGAAAUCCUACAGCUUAACUGUAGAACUGCACUUGAAACUUCUAAUCUAGAGGUAUGGGAGGGGGAGAUGGAAUUAGGGGUGUAGGGGUAGAAUCCGUAGAUAUCACUAGGAAUACCUAAAGCGAAGGCGAUCUCCUGGAACAUUACUGACGCUAAGGCGUGAAAGCGUGGGGAGCAAACAGGAUUAGAUACCCUCGUAGUC